AAGAAAGAAAGAAAGAAAGAAAGAAAGAAAGAAAGAAAGAAAGAAAGAAAGAAAGAAAGAAAGAAAGAAAGAAAGAAAGAAAGAAAGAAAGGAAGGAAGGAAGGAAUGAAGAGAAGGAGAGAUAGAAGGAGAGAUAGAAGGAGAGAUAGAAGGAGAGGGAAACAGACUGAAAUGGUGAAAGUGGGAGACAGGAGAUGCAGGAGACAAAGGGACAGAGACAGAAAGGAGAAGGGGAUGAGAAAUGAGACAGACUGAGACAGAGAGGGAGAGUGUGUGUGACAGCUGUGUGUGAACGAGAUGCCCGGAACCAAGGUGCCCGUCACACACCACCAGGGGGGCACUUUCAGUGAGUGCGCCAUGCAGCCAGACUUGGGGGACAGAAAACAAUGCAACACACGUCACUGCAUCAGGACAAAAUCACAACCUUGUCGGGCCGCAAACAUCCCCUCUCUGUAAUGUCAGUGAAAGGACAGUGACGCAGUGUCCCUUCAACUAGAUAAUACUCAAACCCUCCAAUCCUCUAAACACCAGGAUCUAACCUUCCACAAGUCUAGUUUAACUUUUAACCCUUGACCUUGUCAAAGAGGAGGUCCACUACCAUAUGAGCAACUUUGUACAGCUGUAAUUGAGGCAGGUAGACAAACAGUGCUCUGCUCACUGUUCCAUUAAGUUAAUUGAGUUGUUGAGAAACUCGUACUACAAACAAUCUCGUCGACCAUGAUAAAUGGAUGCACAGAACACUGCAUUAGAAUAGACAGCAUUACCAGACGCAUUCUAGAAAAACCACCUAGCUGUUGUAGUGUCUUUCUACAUAUUGUGAAUUGUUCUGUGUAGAACCAUAAUGUAAAUGUCAGCAUGUUGUGGAUGUCAAGUGGAUCUAUAGCUCUGGCUCAGUGGUGGGUUAACAUUUGUCAUUGGACAGAAUGAAUGGAACUGACCUGACCGUAUGGCCAAUCAGAACACAGGAGGUCAAAGGUUAUAAAUGAAUGCACAGGCGUAAUGGUUCCCCCUGAGUUUAAUUUGUGUCUCAGACUCGUUCAGUCCACUAGUUGUUAGAGGUGUCAUUAUCAAAUAAUUCAGUUGGGUUUUUUUCAAAUCAUGGUGCUAAAAUGUAUGACGCCUCCUCUACUUUUAACCAUCUCUCUGUCCUAAUGGCAGAAAGUCAACAACAAAAAAACUGUUUUAGUUUCCAAAAAGCGAGAUCGGUAAUUGGUCUGAUGUCCUUUCCAAAAGCACCAUGUAGGCCAAGCCUUUUACCUCCAGUCAGAACACUGCUACACUAAAACACUGUUUAAAGGGAAUCGCUGCAUUAGGGUUUUUUGGAGCAGACACACAAAUGCAAGCUUGAUGACCGUGUAUUAUUUUACCACACACACACAGACACACACACAGAGGCUUUCCUGAACAAUCAGUGAGAGCUGAAGAGGUGAGCUGAGCACUAAUUCUGUGCUUUAAUCGGGAAUACAUUUCCUUACACGCGCACGCACACACACACACACAGUAGUUCACUGAGAUAGAGGAUGAGUGAGCAGUGGCUUGUUGUGUAGGGCUGGGAUAUACUGGCGCUCUGAACCAAUGGGACUUCCUGAGUUGUAUGAGUGACAGUCACUCUGACCGAACCAAUUUAAGGUUCCUCAGAUCACCAUGGCAAUGGAAUGAUUUAGAUUUAUUUACAAAAAAAUGCCCUUUUCCUGACAUCGUCUGAAAAAGAAUGGAAAUAAACGUGGAAUUUUGCUUUAGGAGCAGCUAUAACAGGAAAGAAAGAAGUCCGAUAUAAUUACAAAGACAAGAAAACAUUUCCAUUGAGGAUCAUGUCAAUAACAAACUGUAUCACAGUAUCCCCUUUCCAAGUCAAAUAAAACAUUUUUUGUUCACAUUUGUAUUUUUUUCCCAGUAUACUAUAUCACACAGUGAUAACAAAGAAAGGAGAAAUCUACAGCCACGUUAGCUUCGUGCAAAAAACACAUACACUGGCACGCCGCAUAGGCAAAGAUUAAAGCAGAAACAAUGCAUACAAAAAUAUAGAAAAUCUCCAAUGCAACUCAACACCUCACUGAAAACUAGCUUUCUGUCUUUGAACAACAAUUUCUCCACCAAACAGCAUCUCUUUCACCAAAUGGUCACUUCUGGAACAUUCUAUUUGUGUUUUUGUCUUUGAAGGCCUAGACCAUUGGCCUUCCAUAUAGGAAACCAUAGAACCAAAAACAGAAUCCGGUAGCUAUAGUAUGUCAUUAUGACGGUUAGUCAUAAUGAUAUUCAGAAUAAUUAUAAUAACAACAACAUGUUGAAUGAUAGAAAACUAGUACAAUAAAAGCAUAUCAAAUACAUAUUUCCUGUCACUUUUAAGACAUUCCAGCAUUUGCUCAUAACUGUUGGUGACAGGUUACAUACGGUAGUUUGGCAUACUCAGCAAGCCAUGCCCAGAAGGAUGCUAGGGGUCGUGCUCCCCUGUUCAGACGUUGCAUGCAUCAUCCAAUGGUUGUGUGCCACAUCAUCGACUGUGCCGUCAGACACCAGAUUGGUGCAGCAUAUGAUGUGGUUAGCUGAUACGUAAAAUAACUAUCCAGAUUUAGGAAGAUCUGGCACGCGUCAGCAACGCCUGGGAAGAGGAACACGGCUUACAUCUCUUGCAAAAGAGAGGAGGGGUUUCAGGUUUCAGGAUGCAGUGGAACCUGUCCACCAAUGGGAUACAUUGUAUCUGGGUGGUGGCGGGGGAAGGGUGGGGUUAUACAGAACAGCCCAAACUGCAAACCGACGUGCUCAAGACCAGGUCAGCACACAAGUUCAGUUCAGCACUUGCAAACACAUGCAAAGAUAUUUCAUAGUUUUAAGAUUCUGUCUUUCUCUGUCUUUUUUAGUUUUUAGCAGUCUCUCGCUUUCUUGUUGUGUGUGGGUGGAGCACUGAACCCCACUGGCCAAUCCAUGGGCUUCUUACUGAAACCACAGACCAAUUGUUGAGCUUCUUAUUGAAGGCUGUGACAGCCAGUCCAGCUGUCCUGCUUCACAUUGAUAGAAAAGAUUGUUUGGACGCCUCAAGACAAAAAUAUAUUGAUACAUAUCAAAUGGUCAGAGGGCAGGCGGGCAGGCGGGUAGGGGAUUGACAUGAUGCUAUAAGGCAAGGACAGAGGGGUUACACAGCAGUAAGAGUUCAAGUCAUGAAAAAAAACAUGCAGACAGGCUUAACAUAUCAGAGGCCAUGUGAGGGACGGAGAGAUGGACAGGUUUAAACAUAUCAGAGGCCAUGUGAGGGACGGAGAGAUGGACAGGUUUUAACAUAUCAGAGGCCAUGUGAGGGACGGAGAGAUGGACAGGUUUAAACAUAUCAGAGGCCAUGUGAGGGACGGAGAGAUGGACAGGUUUUAACAUAUCAGAGGCCAUGUGAGGGACGGAGAGAUGGACAGGUUUUAACAUAUCAGAGGCCAUGUGAGGGACGGAGAGAUGGACAGGUUUAAACAUAUCAGAGGCCAUGUGAGGGACGGAGAGAUGGACAGGUUUUAACAUAUCAGAGGCCAUGUGAGGGACGGAGAGAUGGACAGGUUUAAACAUAUCAGAGGCCAUGUGAGGGACGGAGAGAUGGACAGGUUUAAACAUAUCAGAGGCCAUGUGAGGGACGGAGAGAUGGACAGGUUUAAACAUAUCAGAGGCCAUGUGAGGGACGGAGAGAUGGACAGGUUUAAACAUAUCAGAGGCCAUGUG
ensembl:lncRNA